rnacentral:rRNA from 1 species
GGGGGGGGGGGGGGGGGGGGGGGGGGGGGGGGGGGGGGGGGGGGGGGGGGGGGGGGGGGGGUGGGGGGGGGGGGGGGUGGGGGGGGGGUGGGGGGUGCGUCGGAAUCUGGUGUUUGGGGGGGGGUGACGUCGGGAGACUUAGGCUGGUACCGCCUACGCCCUACGGGUGAAAGCAGGGGGUCUUCGGACCUUGCGCGCUUGACUGAGCCGGUGUCGGAUCAGCUAGCUGGCGGGGUAAGGGCCGACCAAGGCGACGAUCCGUAGGUGGUCUGAGAGGAGGAUCAGCCACACUGGAACUGAGACACGGGCCAGAGUCCGACGGGAGGCAGCAGGGGGGAAUAUUGGACCAUGGGCGCAAGCCUGAUCCAGACAUACCGCGUGGGUGAAGAAGGCCUUCGGGUUGUAAAGCCCUUUUGUUGGGAAAGAAAAGCAGCAGGUUAAUACCCCGCUGUUCUGACGGUACCCAAAGAAUAAGCACCGGCUAACUUCGUG